UGAAUUUCCAGUUGGUUAACCAAGAAUUUUGAAAAGUGCUCUGAGUUUCAUGAAGGCAAUGUGGGCUGGAAGCAUCUGGUUAGCAAAAAAGGUAGAGAAGAGCCACUAAAGAAGAUCUCCUCAGGAUGCUUGAACUAUCAUCUUUGCGUGGAAGAUAGUAUAUGGAUUGAGGAAGGAUAAAGCUU
rnacentral:lncRNA from 1 species